rnacentral:misc_RNA from 1 species
GAUGAAGAACGUAGCGAAAUGCGAUAAGUAAUGUGAAUUGCAGAAUUCAGUGAAUCAUCGAAUCUUUGAACGCACAUUGCGCCCGCCAGUAUUCUGGCGGGCAUGCCUGUUCGAGCGUCAUUUCAACCAUCAAGCCCCAGGCUUGUGUUGGGGACCUGCGGCUGCCGCAGGCCCUGAAAACCAGUGGCGGGCUCGCUGUCACCCCGGGCGUAGUAGAUUUUAUCUCGCUCAGGGCGUGCUGCGGGUUCCGGCCGUUAAAAAGCCUUUUUUACCCAAGGUUGACCUCGGAUCAGGUAGGAAGACCCGCUGAACUUAAGCAUAUCAAUAAGCGGAGGA